rnacentral:rRNA from 1 species
AUCAGACACGGUGUCAGCAGCCGCGGUAAUACGGAGGGGGCUAGCGUUGUUCGGAAUUACUGGGCGUAAAGCGCACGUAGGCGGCUUUUUAAGUCAGAGGUGAAAGCCCGGAGCUCAACUCCGGAAUUGCCUUUGAGACUGGAUGGCUUGAAUCACGGAGAGGUGGGUGGAAUUCCGAGUGUAGAGGUGAAAUUCGUAGAUAUUCGGAAGAACACCAGUGGCGAAGGCGGCCCACUGGACGUGUAUUGACGCUGAGGUGCGAAAGCGUGGGGAGCAAAACAGGAUUAGAUACCUGGUAGUCCACGCCGUAAACCGAUGAGAACUAGCUGUCUGGGCGUCUUGGAGCCUAGGUGGCGCAGCUAACGCAUUAAGUUCUCCGCCU